AUGAUGUAAAUAUCUGUGUUUUCCAACGGUCUUAGGUCACCCCUGUGAAAGGGUCAUUUGAUCCCAAAGGGGUUGCAACCCACAGACUGAGAGCUGCUGAUCUAGGGCCUGUCAGAGCCACGGAGCUACUAAGCACCUUUCUUGUCCCCGAACGGUGAUGAGCACUAUGUGCCAGUACCUAUGUGUUCCAGGGACCAGCUUUGGGCUUUGGUUGACCAGUAGGAAGGCACUCAUGGUAAACAAAGGCUGCUCUUCACCCUGAGGCCAGAGGAGACAGCCCAGCCCCUCGUGAUGCCCACCGCAUGGUGCUUCUUGUCAUUUGGAAAAAUCAAGGCUCCACAUGACAGCCCUUCUCUGCUCUGCUAACGCUGCGACCCGGUUUCUUCUGGCAGCUCUGAGAAUUGAACCCAGGGCUUCACUCAUGGUAGGCAAGCAGCCUACCUAACACUAAGG
rnacentral:lncRNA from 1 species